UACAGAGGGGGCAAGCGUUGUUCGGAAUUACUGGGCGUAAAGGGCGCGUAGGCGGCCUUCUAAGUCGAACGUGAAAUCCCCCGGCUCAACCGGGGAAGUGCCCCUGAUACUGAUGGCCUUGAGGGAGGUAGGGGCGUGCGGAACUUCCGGUGGAGCGGUGAAAUGCGUAGAUAUCGGAAGGAACACCGGUGGCGAAAGCGGCGCGCUGGACCUCUUCUGACGCUGAGGCGCGAAAGCCAGGGGAGCGAACGGG
rnacentral:rRNA from 1 species